CUCCCAUCUGUGCACAAUCACAAUUUCUCAUGCAAAGUUGUCCAGUCCAAUUCUUUGAGUAAAUCCAAGUUAAUCCAGGCCAGCGAUCUUGCGUCUCACACAAGGCUCUUGAAGGCUGUAGAAAAAGUCUUGAAACUCAUACGGGCUUCUUCACGUAU